AGAUACAGCACAAGUGGGGGAGGAUCAGAAAGUGAGAGGGAGACAGAGAAUCCCAUGCAGGCUACCCACUGUCAUCAUAGAACCUAAUGCAGGACUCGAACCCAAGAAACCAUGAGACUGUGACUAUAGCCAACCCAAGAGUCAGAUGCUUAACCAACUGAGCCACCAAGCACCCCAGCUGAGGAGAUUUCUACACAAAGCAUUGGAGUGGUUUAGUUCCUUCUGAACUGUUAAAGUAAAAAGAGAGAGAGUAAAUUGAAGAAACAAUUCUUUUUUUUUUUUAAUUUUUAAACAUUUAUUCAUUUUUUUGAUAGAGACAGAGUGGGGGAGGGACAGAGAGAGAAGACACAGAAUCUGAAUCAGGCUCCAAAUUCAGCGUGACAAGGGGCUCAAACCCACGAACCAUGAGAUCUUCACCAGAGCCGAAGUUGGAAGCUUAACUGGCUGAGCUACCUAGGCACCCUGAAAAAACAAUUCUUAAGCAACAAGAAGCCAGAAUUUGAAAAUUUGGAACUUCUCAGCCAUGGUGAAAAAAUGAGAAAGCUUGUUUUGAAGAAAACACUAAGGGUAUGGCUGAACAACCAUUUGAUAGGAGAUCCUGAAUUCUACUUAUAAACUUAAUUUGCCACCUCAACAGAAGCCAAGAGUAGAGAAGAGAUUAUAUCAGCAGAGACACUGCCAGUUUGAACUAAAGGGGGCAGAAAAUGUGGGACAGUGAAAGAAGGUUGCUGGACUUCUUGGAGUUCACAGAAUGGGACCAUAGAGCUAUUCAGCUGCAAAUGUGCGCUAUCUUUGAGCAAAGGGAAGAAGUACUCCACCGGCAGUUCAGAGAUUAUCACAGCUGCCACUCCCACCAGGGACGCAAGGAGCAAGGCUGUCUCAACCUCAAUUUCAAAGCAGCAGCCACAGUAUCGACCAAAGGCUCUUGAAAGAAGAAACACAUUCAAGGCCAUUAGUCUGUGGUUGCAUGUGUAUUUGGGUCUCCAACUCACACUCACUCCAUCCUGACAAGUGCAGAAGGUGAAAACAUUGCUAGACAGUCUGUUUCUGAGAGGGAUCAACCUGUUGCCGAAAGAUUUAUCAUCAGGAAACUGUGAGCUGGGACGUGAAAGGCCAGUGCUGUGAUGAGAUGGUUGAAAGCAGAUCCAUUGUUCUCGGCCAGAGAUAGUCACCACAACAUACGGGCCUACUACAAUGAAGGUGCAGGAUUCUGGUCUCAUUCAGUGGAUGCUAUGCAUUUCACCCUGGAGAAUAGCUAUAAGAUCUGACAAAUGAAAAUGUCUCUAAAACAAGUAAAUUAUCCUCAUGCAAAUUUGAGGCUCCUCAUUCUUCGCCAUUUGGGGCCAACGCUUCUCGACUCAGAAGAGAAACCUAAAUUUUACGAUGGACUCUUCAUGUUCCUCACUAUAUCCUUUGAAUAAUAACUUACUGUUGUGUCAGGUAUUCCCAGUCCACUGUCAACACCUAACAAAGUCAGUAUCUGAAGCCCUUUUUUAUCUACAGUGUCUCUCCUGACUCCUUAUUUACUUGAACCAAUAGCUUCUUUUUGCACUCAUAGUGAUGGUCAGUGUGUUUUGCAUCCUACAGCUAUUACAGCCUCCUUCACAUUCUGUCAAUAGAUUUAUAUAUUGAUAUUUUUAUAGUAUAAUAUCUCUGCGUAUGAAGAAACAGACAAUAAAUGUUAAAAACUUAUAGUUUCACACUCAAAAAUGCUCGUAGCAUGUCUUCACCUUCUCUGCAUGCACAUACGCAAACACCAAAUAGUGGUGCCACCAAAAAAGUGCCACCAAAAAAGUGGCAGCUCACUAGUUCAAUAACAGAGCUAUUCAAGGGUAGACCUGGUUUCAGCUGUGAUAGCAUGUCAUGGCCGAUAUGAUGUUAUCAAAAUUCAGUUUGUUUCACUUCAUCUGUAUUGGUUCCAUUCUCAAAAAGACUCUUCUUGACACAAGAUCUCAGAGGCUCACAGAGCUACAUAAUCCCAGCUUCAAAUCCAGUGGUAACUAGAGUCUUCCUUCCCUAACAGUCCCAAAGUCCUGGGAUUCACUUUCAUUGGACAUGCUUUGGUCAUACCCAUCCCUGAAUUGAUCACUGUGAGCAGAAUGCAACGCAGUGAUUGGCUUAGACCUCCACUCCUAGAGCUGUAAAUGGAUCCACACCCAAACUAUGUGGACUGAGAGAGAGAGGAAGGAGCAAACCCCAAACAAAAUAUUAGGUCUGUUCCUCAAAGGAGAGGAAACAGACGACAGAGAAAUAAACAACAACCAUCCACAACAAUAUGCCUCUUGGCUAUCCAAUAUUUAUGUACAAUCUUAGUACUACUGUAUGUAGAGAGAUGUUUUUCAUUCUCUCUUUAAUGUCUACCCCCAGAUAUAACAUAAUAAGUCCCAAGAAAGAGAAAGUAAAAUCUGAUUUGAUGGCUGCACCCUAUUUCAGGUUUAGGAUUAUUGAGUGAUGUGCAACAUUUUUAAGCAUGCGGCCAACAUACCCAGUACACAAAGGCAGAGAGAGAACAGAAAAACCAGGGUGGGAAUGGAAGCACUAGUAAUCACUGCUUCGUUGCACAUAUAAACUUCUUCUUUGUUCACUAAUGUAUUUCUGUAUGUAUAUAGGUCUGGGGCAUAGUAGGUGCCUGGAAUUUGCUGAGCUGGUGAAUACACAGCUGAACAGGAAUAGCAAGGACUUCCUGUCUUAACUGUUGAGUGAGUCCUUGCUCAGCUGGUCUAGCUUUCCUGUCCUUCUAUCUGAGAAUGGCUCCAGUCCUUUGCCUUUGUGGCCAACUUUUCUGCCCUCUGGUAAAACCUUCCUUAUCUAUUAUCUUCUGUUGCCAUAUCUCAGAAUCGCCUUGUGGAAUAUGCCCCCAGGGAUAGCUCCCACUUCUUUGGUUAACAUUUCUCAAGUCUGAGGGCUUUCUUAGGGUCAUUCAUAAACAAUAUUUACAGACAAUUGUUCUGGCUCCUCCUUUAGAAAUGUUUCAGGUUUUACCUAGUUCCAAACAGAACUCCAAAGACUAGAAUCCAAACUCAGAGAUCUUGUUCGGUUAUGAUCCUUUCAGUCUGAAUCCAGCUUGAGAAUGUCUGGUUCUCAGUAAUAGGAUAGGUGCUCCCUCCCUCCCUGAAGUCCUUCCUUGAGUGGCCUUCAUCUUUGCACUGCCCCAGAGCAACCUGAAAUGAUGGUCAAGAUUUCACCACAAAAAGUGGUUCACAUGUUCCAGCAUCCUGAAUUUCUCCUACCAAACUCCCUAAUGCAGCAACGUUUGUAGGCGUAUGGUCCACGGUCUAAGAUGCAGUAGUUUGGGACACGAUUGUACCAGGUGAAGUUUGUCUUCCUGACCUCCUGAUGCUCAAUUUAGUCAUAUGAUUUUCUAUAGCCAAUGGAAUGUCAGUGAACAUGACAUGAAGUGGCCUUACAUGAGUUUCUUCAUUUUGGCUUGGCUCUCAUGCUUUGGUAACAAGACAGAAGAACAACAUGCUGUACCUAGAGCUGCCCCAUCAGUCUGCAUCCCGGAAUGGACACAUAUACAGCAGACCUGAAUCCGAUCCUCAGCCUCAAGCAAAACCACCUGGAUGAGUCUAUUCUACAAGAGCUGCAGGCCUGCAUAGCUGUAAAAGAACAAACGCUUGUGUCGUAAGCCACUGAGCUUUGGGGUGGUCAUGCAGCAUUAUUUUGGCAACAACCUCAUUGAGACAUUUUUGCCAUAGAUGCUCCAGAAGGUAUUCCUAAAUGUAGAAUUUCUUUCUAAAUGCAAGAAUACAGAACAAGGGAAGUCAUCUUGAAGUUGCAUUUACAGAAGAAUGACACUUUUUAUUUAGAAGGAAAUUAUCCAGCUGUAAACAUCAGGGGUGCCAAAUUUAGACAACAUCGCCUUACACAAAAACUUGUAUUCUAGAAAAAAGACACGGAUUCGGCCAUUCAGCCUACCUGGCUAAACCUUGAUCAUCUAUUUGACUUCUCAAUUUCUAGUCAUCAGUAGCCCUAGCAAGGUCUCUUGGCCUUUCCUUACCCCUAAGCAAUAUCCCGAGGCAAAAACAUCACCAGUGCCUACUUGGAG